rnacentral:rRNA from 1 species
GACGAACGCUGGCGGCGUGCUUAACACAUGCAAGUCGAACGGAAAGGCCCUGCUUUUGUGGGGUGCUCGAGUGGCGAACGGGUGAGUAACACGUGAGUAACCUGCCCUUGACUUUGGUAUAACUUCAGGAAACUGGGGCUAAUACCGGAUAGGAGCUCCUGCUACAUGGUGGGGGUUGGAAAGUUUCGGCGGUUGGGGAUGGACUCGCGGCUUAUCAGCUUGUUGGUGGGGUAGUGGCUUACCAAGGCUUUGACGGGUAGCCGGCCUGAGAGGGUGACCGGCCACAUUGGGACUGAGAUACGGCCCAGACUCCUACGGGAGGCAGCAGUGGGGAAUAUUGCACAAUGGGCGGAAGCCUGAUGCAGCAACGCCGCGUGCGGGAUGACGGCCUUCGGGUUGUAAACCGCUUUCGCCUGUGACGAAGCGUGAGUGACGGUAAUGGGUAAAGAAGCACCGGCUAACUACGUG